GGAAAAUUUAGUAAAACUUAGCAGAAAUAUAUAUAUAUGACUCAGAAAAAAUGAAUAUCAAACUCAAAAGCAGCUUUAUUACUCAAGAACUUACAAAAUAAACAAGAUGGAAACCAGGAACAAUUAAUCAAAAACCAAAUACACAAAUCAUUGAGGAAAACAACGAGGACUCAACUGUACACAAGAAAAUGUGGGAGGCAACAGCUGGGCAAAACAAGACAGGUGAACAGAAUAACUAACGAGAAAAGGGGAAGCAAAACUUAACACAACACACACAAGACGAGGAACUAUCAAAAUAAGACUAAGACGUGAACCUCCCACAGUGACAGAGAUAAACAUGGAGACACGACUAACACUAUCAUACUGAACGGACUAGAUGCAGAGAUGAAGAGCCAUCAUAUAAAUUAGGUCUCAACAUCCAAAAGAGCAAAUCAUGAGCUCACAGGAAAAAAUCAAAAUAUCUUAAAAUUCAAACCGCCGGGUAAAAGACCCAGGACUAGGACAGACACAAACAUGAUCAGAGGGUUAAAUUAACUGGCAGAUUAUUGCAAACAUUUGAUCUGAAGAAUACACUGAAAUCAAUAUGUAGCAGAGCUUCUGACAUGAACUUCAAACAUUGCAGCUCGGCUCUUGAAGGAUGACUACAAAUCACAUUUUAAAUUGCACAACAUAAUUUAUAAGCAUUUAAGCAUCGAAAUUAUUAUGUAUGAUAUUGUUUUGCUUUUUAAACAGGAAUUGGCUCAUUGGUGUGGCGAGGACAAUGGAAAGCUAUGUUAAAUAUACAGUUGGAAUUUGCUAAAAUUGGCAGCUGCCCACAUGCACAACCCAAAUGCCUUCUGGAGAAAGGUUUAUGGCCAGAUGAAACAAAUAGAGCUAUUUGGCCACAAUGACAUGAAUGACAACAGGUAUACUGGGAGGAGUAACUGUGAGGCCUUCAAAACUAAAUAUACUGUAUCAACUGUCAAGCAUGCUCUGGGGCUAAAGAGUAUGAUGGCAUUGAAGCAUGCCAUUAUUCUGGGGCUAUUCUGCUGCCAGUGGUACUGGUACAAUGGCACUGGUGCACAAAGUGGAUGGAACAAGAAGGACUACCUCAAAAUGCUGCAAGAUCACCUGGUGGUUGAAACCUGGACACAACUGACCUUCCCAAUGAUGAAAUCACCCCAUUUGAUCAUUUUAGUCUUAAGGAGCUUGAUCACUUGAGAGUUAAUUGUUCAAUUGUCAUUUCAGUGGUCCACUGAAACUAACACUACUGACGAAAACUGGGCCGUGAAAUCAGUUUCUUGAUCAUUAAUAUACAAAUUGUCAUGAGCAUUGAUCAACAUCCACUGAUCAGUUUCAGUCAUUAUCCAAAUGUACUGUUUAUAAGGUUGGGGAAACCUGCAUUCAGCUGAGACUGAA
ensembl:lncRNA